UACGAAGGGGCUAGCGUUGCUCGGAAUCACUGGGCGUAAAGCGCACGUAGGCGGAUUGUUAAGUCAGGGGUGAAAUCCUGGAGCUCAACUCCAGAACUGCCUUUGAUACUGGCGAUCUCGAGUCCGGGAGAGGUGAGUGGAACUGCGAGUGUAGAGGUGAAAUUCGUAGAUAUUCGCAAGAACACCAGUGGCGAAGGCGGCUCACUGGCCCGGUGUGACGCUGAGGUGCGAAAGCGUGGGGAGCAACAGG
rnacentral:rRNA from 1 species